UAAGAUGUCUUCUUAUUUCUGUCACAAAUCAGAAAGGCUUUGUGCUGUACUGCAUGGAAGACAGAGUUGAUGCAACUGUCUACCUUACUUCUGGAUGACCUAUAAAGAAUGAAAAAUAAUUGGAUAAUGCACUUAUUUUGUAAACUGAGAAAUGUGUCACAGCUGGGCAAAUAUUGCUGAGUCAGCCCUUGUCCUUUUAACCCUUUCACUUGCAUUAAAAAUUCUCAUUUUCAUACUUCCAACGGACUUCUUAAGAUAGAUUUGAAAACAAGAGCCUUUGGCCAGAAGGAGCAGGACUCCCCAGUUACCGCAGUCCCGGCUUGGCUGGAAGGCUGUCUGCGGAUGGACGGGAUUGCCGCAGCCAGGAGAAUGCAGGAUGAAGGCCGAAGCCUGCAGGCUGAGGAAACACCUCUGGAAACCUGCCCGACGGAAACCCAGAACGGCGUGGGGACACUUUCGUGCCACAGAUUGCCUGGAAUCGGUCCAAAAACAUCUUCUGCUAAUGGUGCUCCUGAGAAAUGAUGCUGAAAGAUGACCAAGCUUGUGUCUAAGUACAACACCAGCCAUACACAUCGUUCAUGCUGUUCUGAAGCAGUUAAUGUCAAGCUCUACUUGUGUUCCCUUUUAGUUCUUCAGCAUUUCACAGUCUUCUCCCUAGAAUAGGAUGACUGGAAUCUUCUCCAAGGAGAAAAGAGUUAUAAAGAUUAUAAGCAAAUAAAAAUAACACCCACUUUUUUUGUACAGAGAUCCAGAUUAGACAUCUAAAUUGGUCAAAUGAAGCAAUGUUGGAAUUUCUUCACUAAAUUAU
ensembl:lncRNA